rnacentral:rRNA from 1 species
AAACGGUCCUGUAAGCAGUAAAGUAGCCUUGUUGUUACGAUCUGCUGAGGGUAAGCCGUCCUUCGCCUCGAUUUCCC